UAGUCCGGGGUCCUUUGCGAUCCGGAGAAUAAACACUUAUUACAGAUCUGUAUUCCCGAGAGGCUUAAAUGUCAACAGGAAUAUAUGGCGGCGUACAUAAGAUGCUGUAGGGAAGUUCUGAACAGUGGUACAGUUGCCCCAUCCACAGUUUUCUCUGAACAUACUGAAGGACAUCUUAGAGUAUUUGGCUUUGUCACAAUUAUAAAGGAUGGCAAAGAAGAAGAGCAUAUCAUAUGUGUUCCACAGUAGUGACAUUUCGAAGAUGCUGUUAAAGACUAUCAUACAGUUGCAUAAACUAGAGAUCCCAGAACCAUCAACAGAAGUCUUGAAACCCACUUAUCAUGGUAAUUGGAGUGCUUAUUAGUUCAUAAUCAUUUAUUUAAGCCUGAUUAUGUAAAAGCUAACAGGUUAUUUAAAACACACUCUAGUCGGUUUCCUUGGUCAAACUCACCAGUACUGUAAAUUAUAAAAGUUUACAACUCCUGAAACAUAUGUUUGUGUACAUAAGACAUUUACUUUUAUAUCACAUAAUAACAUUGUGAUCAUGGCAGAUCUGUGCGUGGUAUAGAAUUUCGAUGAAUUUCAGAUGGUAUUAAAGUCGCACAGCUGCAGAAAUUACAGAGAUCCCAGAACCAUCUGAAGAUGCCCUCGGUGCAUCAACAGAAGUCAGGCUUAAUUGAACUUAUUAUCUGUAAACAGAUACAUACAUUUUUCCGCUGCACCUAGACAUGCAUCGACAUUGAAGUAGCUCAUGAUGGAUGCUAUAAGUUUGAAAUGAAUUGUGUGUGUGUUCAAGUUAAACCUCAGAGCGUUUGUUAACCUUGAUUUAUUGUUGCUCGAAAUGACAACACUUGUUGAUUAAUAUAUUUAGAUCUGAUAUGUUUGUUACAUCAUAAUAUAUGUAUCAAGUAAGUUAAUAAUUGCAUGUGUUAUGUUUGUAUCUGAAUUUGUGUGAAGCUUUCAUAAUAUUGUGGCAGUGUACAUUCAACUUAACUGUGUGUUUCAGAUGCUGCAGGAAACAAUGGUACAGUUGCCCAAUCUACUGUCAUCUCUGAACAUGCUGAAGGUCUGCAUCAAGAACUAAGCAGUGAUGAGGAAGCUGAAGGUGAUGACCAGAAUUUGUACAGCAGAUCAGCUUCAGAUGGGACUGCUGUCACUAUUUUUACAGGGCCUGUUCUUGUAAUGCAUACUUACACACGUAAAAGGUCAGCAUUGGAGAUAAUCACACGUCAUGGAAGAUGCCAGCUCUCGAGGCAACGAAUGAACGUAAAUAAUUUGGUACAGAAGAUGGAUGUCCAGGACCCAGUUCUGCCAGACCUGAUACUGAAAGGAAAUCACCCAAUGGUCCAAAGCAAGCCAGGAAGAUUCAGCAUUAAACAGAGGAGCAAUUUAGGCCAACUCCUAAGAAAACUGUUUGAAGUGAACAUUACUAUGAGACGGGAACUGAAGAUGAUAGACUGUAUUAAUACAAUCAAAAGCCACAAAUGUUUGAAUUCUCUGAAGUGGAUUAAAAAAAAAAAAAUCACGAUUGGAUGACGAUAGAGAAAUGCAAACAAUAAUAAGUGCUCAAUGUGCUCGUACAGCUUGUACAUAGUGUUACCGUGUUAAAAGUCUCUGUUAACGUCUCUAGUCUUUUGGUUAACAGUAUAUGAGGUUACAAGAAGUUGUUUUUUCUUCUUUUUUUUUUGCAUUUAUAUCUUAUGGUGGAUUGCAAUCGUCUGUAUUUUGAAGAAAAAAACAGGGCUGGUGGGCAGUAAAAGUAUAUCGUAUCAUGUAAAAAAUACACAGUAAAUAAUCUAAAUUGAUAUUUUUUAUCAAUAUUACAUAAACCAUUCCAUUUGGUUCAUAUUUUAACACUUCAUUUUAUUUUUAUAACUAAAAUCAAUAUUUUGUUGUAGUUGCUGAUUUAAUUAUAAACUAAAAAGUGUUUAGGCGGGGUGUUUCAAACGGGGGCGGACUGAGAUGAGAAUCUUAAAUAUGUUUUCUGCCGCCUAAGGCUUUAUCCUUAGUAUGUAUCUUUUAGGACAUCAUGAUGAAGACAUCAUUCCUAUUUAUUAUUCAUUAUUCAAAAUAGUUUAAAUCAUUUUUAGAUUGCCAGUGGUUUUGAAGAGCAUAAUUUUAACAGCAAAUGGAAACUCACGCACAUUUCACACAAAUAAUUCCACAUAAAUGAGGUUGAGGGUUGCAUACAUGAUCAAGCCUUCUUGGGCAAAAGUUAUACUAACAAAAUACAGAAUUGUUUCAGUAAAGUAUUAUAUUGUCUUGAUUGAUAUAUAUAUAUAUAAUAUUAUAAGGGUAUUUUAAGAGUUCAUUUUUACCUGACAGUAAUGGGCCUUGAAACUUCAAAAAUUGCUUAAAAGACUUGUUUAAGUACUUUAUUUUCACUUGUGGUGUAUAAUAUUAUCAUCUAGGUAAAUAAAACAUAUGUUUUUAAUUGAUUUUGCAGUUUUGACACCAAUGAGCGCCCUGAUUUUAUAUUUUGUCAAAACUAAGAUUGGUUUUAAGGUCAUGGGCAUUGUAGGUGAAAAAUAGAAGAUAUGCGCUGACAUAUGCUCAAACAACAAUUUAACAAAAUGCAUGUACAACACUGAAUUAUGUAGAUACAAAAUUGUUAGUAGUGGUGACAUUGUGACAAUAUGAUUUUUGUCAUUUACAGAGUUUGAGAGCUGCCAAUUAUUUUAUUCAAACAGUAAUUUCUCAUUUGUAUUUUAUGAAGAAGUGUAUUUUAUACACAUUAUUUCUUUGUUUAAUAGUAUUUUCUCGCUUGUAUUUCGUAACAUAUUCUUGACAUGUAAAGAUGGCAAAAUGUUGUGCCCUUUUACAAUUAUUAUGGUGAUGUAUGUGAGAGAUGAACAAUCAAUUGAAUAUAUUCACAUAAUUUCCCUCUGCAUGUAACAAAAAUGACUUGAAAAUGGCUGUAUAUAAAUUGAAAUUUCCAUAAUUUAUUAAAAAUUGCAUAACUAUGGCAACUCGACUCACUCCCUGCUAUAUUUAAGGGUAGAUCAAGAGGCAACCCCCUGGCAUUAUUCAUUAUUAAAAUAUUUAAUUAUACUCCUUAUAGACUUCGAUAAUAGGCGAAGGGUAGCUCCACGGCGCUUUUGUUUAUUUAAUUAUUUUUGGUCAGAAGCAAAAUAAUAGGUUAUCAUUCCCUUGCUUUUU